GGGAUACUAUGUUAGAGUGGAGCAGUAUUCUAGUCAGCCCAUCACCUCUGAAGGCGGGGCUAAAAAUCCGCUAAAGGGCACAUCGAUGAAGUUCUUGGUGUUGGCUUGCAGCGCCCAGCUGCGGGUUGAUGCUGGGAGUUAAGGAAGAAGGGCGAUCCGCAAUGGCAUGCGGGCGUUGACCCUUCUUCCGCGGAGGCCCAAGUACGUGGUGGAAUCACGACGGCUUGGGGUAUGAACCUGCAUGCGGGGACUCACUUGUAUGCAGCGUAGCCUGCCUUGAGUGGCAGAGUGGGGAUAUUUAACUGUACGGUUAAGUUGAAAGCUCUGUUGCAAAAGAGGCUAGGAGGCUGAUCCGGGCUGUUGAGGAAAACUCCUAGACUGUUUGCCUCAGGCAAGGCUAUCCAGGGAUUAAAGUGCGGACUAAGUGGCAAUCCAGUCCGGCGAUUGGCGACAACGCCGAAAGAGGUUAUAAAGGGAAACCGCC
rnacentral:sRNA from 1 species